rnacentral:rRNA from 1 species
AUUGAACGCUGGCGGCAGGCCUAACACAUGCAAGUCGAACGAGUGGCGGACGGGUGAGUAAUGUCUGGGAAACUGCCUGAUGGAGGGGGAUAACUACUGGAAACGGUAGCUAAUACCGCAUACCAUCGGAUGUGCCCAGAUGGGAUUAGCUAGUAGGUGGGGUAACGGCUCACCUAGGCGACGAUCCCUGGCUGGUCUGAGAGGAUGACCAGCCACAAUGGAACUGUGACACGGUCCAGACUCCUACGGGAGGAAGAAGUGGGGAAGAGUGCAGAAUGGGGGCAAGCCUGAUUCAGCCAUGCCGCGUGUAGGAAGAAGGCCUUCGGGUUGUAAAGUACGUUCAGCGGGGAGGCGUUACCCGAAGAAGAAGAACCGGCUAACUCAGUGCCAGCCGCCGCGGUAAUUC